UGGCCAGGUGGAAUCAACGCCUAAACUCCACUCCUCACAGCCGUCUGCAUCUGCGCUGCGCCUGCGCACUGCUUCCUAGCUGGGCAUUUUAAAAACAUUAUUGUGAGGAGUCCACAGGCUUCACCAGAGUACCAAGAAAAGUUAAGAAUCAUUGCAUUAUACUUGUUUUGAAAUCUAUUAUCCAUAGUAAUCUAAACAUCCAAAUAAAAUAGUACAGGAAAAAUGGGAGUGUGUGUGUGAUGAUGAAAUGACCUUAAGAAUUAAUCCAGAUAAAUUUGGCUCUUUGGUGUCUACAGCAAAAGCUCCAUAGAUCUCCAAUGUGGCAUAUUUAUUAUAACAAAUUAAUCAGCAAAUUUGGAGGCAGUUCUCAAGUGGAAGCAAUAAAAAAAAAAUUGAAGUUAGAAUUUCCACAGAAACUAUGUAGGAUAUACCAUUAUAAAUGAUCUUAAGGCUGUAUUGUAGAUCCAUAACAUUAAAAAAAAAAAAAAAUCAAAGCCCACAACUUCUAUAAAGCCACUU